UACGGGGGGGGGCAAGCGUUGUUCGGAAUUACUGGGCGUAAAGGGCUCGUAGGUGGCCAACUAAGUCAGACGUGAAAUCCCUCGGCUUAACCGGGGAACUGCGUCUGAUACUGGAUGGCUAGAGUUUGGGAGAGGGAUGCGGAAUUCCAGGUGUAGCGGUGAAAUGCGUAGAUAUCUGGAGGAACACCGGUGGCGAAGGCGGCAUCCUGGACCAACACUGACGCUGAUGAGCGAAAGCCAGGGGAGCAAAGCGGG
rnacentral:rRNA from 1 species